CCUACGGGAGGCAGCAGUGGGGAAUCUUCCGCAAUGGGCGAAAGCCUGACGGAGCAACGCCGCGUGAACGAUGAAGGUCUUAGGAUCGUAAAGUUCUGUUGUUAGGGACGAAGGGUAAGAAUCAUAAUAAGGUUUUUAUUUGACGGUACCUAACGAGGAAGCCACGGCUAACUACGUGCCAGCAGCCGCGGUAAUACGUAGGCGGCAAGCGUUGUCCGGAAUUAUUGGGCGUAAAGGGAGCGCAGGCGGGAA
rnacentral:rRNA from 1 species